UGAUUACUUUUUAACAUUAGAAGAAAACAAUAAAGAUGCAUAUAAAAAAAAUUAACUUUGUCAAAUGGAAUGUUACUCCCUGACCCUUUCGUACUUGAAAAUUGGAAAAACGACGUUUCAAUGAUGCCCGACAUUACAUGGGGUGACAUGUACAAUUACCUUAUUAACUCCCCAAGUAACUUUACACACGAUUCAAUGAAAGCCUAUAAAUCAUUGGAAUCGUACAACUUUUACAUUUGUGGGCAUGUUUAAGAUGUAUACUAUAAUUUAAUUGAAGAAACGAAUGAAUUUUGUUUCAUUAAAUCUGAGGUGCUUCCAAGUCAAAGACAAGGAAAGAAGCAGAAAUGUUACGAAGUGUGGGUUGCAAUAAAUAAAGUUAAUGGGUGGAUUUUAACGGCAAAUUGCAAAUGCAUGGCAGGAUUGGGCUCUGUGUGUAGUCACAUCGGUGCUUUGUUGUUUAAGCUUGUUGCGUGUGCACAGCUCGGUUUAAAUAAAAUAUCUUGCACAAGCACAUUCUGCAGUUGGAAAAAAUCACGCAAAUCAGCAACCCCAGCCCCACUAAAAAAAAUAAACUUUUCGCGACCAAAGAAGCGUGAAACUCUUCCAAAUAUUAGUGACAAUGAAAACUCACAGGAUGAAAGACCUUACAGCUUUAAGGAUCCUACACCAACUUCAGAUAGUAAAAAAAAAAAGUUGCUAGAACUAAAAAAAUUGUA